AAAUUGAAAAAAAGUAUUAAUUUCUAUAAUAAUUAAUUUAUUUCAGAUAAAUGCUGAUCUUUGCCAAUCUUUCUAUUGGAUCUUUCUUACUGUUCAAAAAUUUUUGACUGGUAGAAAAUAUGUAGCAUAUGUAUCACACUCAUAUCACAUCUUGUUUUGGAAAAGAAUAAAAUGCCACGUCCAACAAUAUCGUGUCUUUUUUUUUUUUUGCAUUUGGGCCAUGGAAACCUCUAUGAACACACUUGACUUGGCCCAAAAAUCGCGGGGGACGGAUUUAUGUUUUAUUAAAAAGUGUUUAUGUAUUCUACACUCAUGGUGCGUGCUCACACAUUAGGAUAGGUUAGAUGCAUGCCUCUGUUUCGAGUCCCUAUCAAGCACUUCACCGAUUCAUCUGCUCUCUUCUCCUCCUCCUGUCUGGCACUUUGGCCCGCAUCCCCCACCUCAGAUCAAGCCUGUUCUUGAUAAAGCUGCUGUAAAAACGUGGGAAAAGCCUGCGAGGAAGAAGUUGGAUUGAAGCGAUCUUUAUAUGGGCAGAGCAAAAUACUUCACCGCUCCAUGUAUAGCGCAUUGUGAUUGGAUGUUUACACUGCCAAUACAGGAGACAAACCAAUGGGCCACUGGCUGCUCGCUUUCCCUGCGUGAUGGUCCUAGGCAAAAAAAUAAAAAAUAAACCUUUUCCCGGUGCGUCAGCCCACCGGGAAAAUGCCUGGUAUGCCGAUUACCAGUCCAGCCCUGGUCACUACUAACAAUCUCUCUGACCUGCUGUUGCAUUAUCAGUAAGCCUGCAUGAAUGGACCGACAAAAGUAGAUGACUCUAAAGGCAUCUCACUGUGCCACUGUCAUGACAUUCAACAGGCCUUUUCUGUCUGCUGUACAUGAAUAAAAAAAUAAAAAAUAAAAAACACAUAAAACAAACAGCGGGUACACUGAACUCAUUUGCUGGUUCCAGUUGACCCACCUUUUCAUGCAAUGUGCUGCUUCAGGUUCUCUGCAUUAAAACAUAAAAAAGAAAUAAUAAUAAUAAUAAUAAAUACAUAUGCUUAUACAUCUUUAUAACUAUCCUCUAAAGGAUGCAGAAUAAAAAUAUGCAGAUAUCUACUCAAAAAAAAAAAAAAUAAAUAAAAAAAAAAGAAGAAAGAGGAAAGCAAUGACUGGAGUUAGGAACUUUCCAUCUUGAAACAGAGUCUUGAAAAAAAACAACAUCUCCAAUUGAGUGAUUAAAAACAAGACCAAGACUCUUGACUAUUUCUAUCUUGUUGGUUCAGGUGCCUACUGGCCUCCAUAAUGAAAUAUCCCAGGCUUGACAUGUUUGCCUUCCCUUGCUGCAGAACACACAUUUGUUCUCCUUUUCCGCCUAGCUAAUGGCAUUAGCGUUGCACUAGUGGAGGGGGCCAUAAGUAAAACUGUUGCCCCGGAUAGAAAAGAGGCCAGUUGGCAUGGUGUUUGCUUCUCCUCGCUGUGAACAGAUAAAAUGAAUGAGAUUUGCAAAUGGUUGGAUAUACUUUGGCCAGCCUUUCAUGAUAAUGGAGGGAAUUUAUUAAGGGAGACUUGAGAAAGUGGUAUUAAUCAGGUCAGUUUGCUGCCUCCAGAGCUGUUAUGUCCCCUGCAAGGAUAUCGGGGUCAGUAAUGCCUUCACAUAAGUCAUGCUUGUCUCAAGUUGGUUGUUCCAAAGGUUGGCACCAGAGUCAGGCUGCCUUAUAACAGGCUGGCUGUGCUGCAUGGAGGCAGCUUGCUUGACCCCAGAUGUGAUUACGAUGAAGUGUAGACCAUGAUCCACUCAUAGAGCCAGUAAUAGCCUUUAGUUAGUAAACAGUGUUGAUAGCAAAUAACAGCAAAUGAGUGAGCACAGAAUUUUUACAAUUAUUGCAAAUAGAGAGGUGAUAAUUUUGCAAGAUGCCCAUGUAAAUUAUACUGUUAAUUUAUGUAUAUAAAGAUGCAGCAACAAAACAAAAGAAACAAGCUAAUAUGGUAUAUGUGAGGAAUUUACUGAGAAAACUGUAAAAGAUUAUUGGUCAUACUUUAGUUUGGGGAGCAAUUUUCAAUGUUAACUAACUAUUAACUAUGACUUUUGCCUCAGUAAUCACCUAAUUUGCUGCUUAUUAAUAGUUAUUAAGGAAAUUGUUCAAUUUAGUGGAUUAAGGAUUCUAAAAUACGGUCAUGCAGAAUAAUGCAAUAAUAUGUGCUUUAUAAGUACUAAUAAACUGCCAGUAUGCUAGUAAUAUGCAUGCUAAUAAGCAACUAGUUAAUGUUGAGAAUUGGUCCUUAAAAUAAAGUGUUACCGAUUAUUGCACUUAACAAGAUUGAUUGAAAUAUCUUGACAAGCACAGUUUUCUUUCCUUUGUUGGCAUAUUUACUGUUGAAACAGAAUAUUGAUAGGAUUGCCCUUUUAUUUGAAAUAGCCACUAGUUUUUAGUUUUCAUUCCGUUAUCCCUGAGGAGAAGUGCUGUACAGUUUAACAUGUAUAUCUGCAAUAUAUUUUGCCUGCUCAUUAGCAUAUAGAUGAGCUCAAAGUCAAUGACUAAAAACAAGAAAACUCUUUGAGAAGGAAGCUGUCGGGUUUUCUUUCAGAGAAAAACUACCAAUAAAUGGGGAAACAGACCUGGUAUUGCUAUAAGAAGUCCAUGACUUCAUCCUGCUGUCCAGGAAACUGCUUUCAUAUUUAGCUGUAUGUAUGGAGGCAUUUUAAUUCCUGAAAUCAAAUGCAUUUUCUGUCUCUGUUCCUGGAAAAUGUCU
ensembl:lncRNA